AGCCUGUUAGCCACCACAAGCAA
rnacentral:siRNA from 1 species